rnacentral:rRNA from 1 species
GACGAACGCUGGCGGCGUGCUUAACACAUGCAAGUCGAACGAAGUGGCGAAAGGGUGAGUAAAGCGUAAUCAACCUGCCCUUCAGAGGGGGCCAACAGAUGGAAACGACUGCUAAUACCGCAUACUGAAGGAGGGGAUUGGGUCUGAUUAGCUAGUUGGAGGGGUAACGGCCCACCAAGGCGAUGAUCAGUAGCCGGUCUGAGAGGAUGAACGGCAACAUUGGGACUGAGACACGGCCCAGACGCCUACGGGAGGCAGCAGUGGGGAAUCUUCCGCAAUGGACGAAAGUCUGACGGAGCAACGCCGCGUGAGUGAUGACGGCCUUCGGGUUGUAAAGGACUUUUGUCAGGGAAGCGGUACCUGAAGAAUAAGCACCGGCUAACUACGUGCCAGCAGCCGCGGUAAUUC